rnacentral:rRNA from 1 species
GUUAGCGGCGGACGGGUGAGUAACACGUGGGCAACCUGCCUGUAAGACUGGGAUAACACCGGGAAACCGGUGCUAAUACCGGAUAAUCCUUUUCCUCUCAUGAGGAAAAGCUGAAAGUCGGUUUCGGCUGACACUUACAGAUGGGCCCGCGGCGCAUUAGCUAGUUGGUGAGGUAACGGCUCACCAAGGCGACGAUGCGUAGCCGACCUGAGAGGGUGAUCGGCCACACUGGGACUGAGACACGGCCCAGACUCCUACGGGAGGCAGCAGUAGGGAAUCUUCCACAAUGGACGAAAGUCUGAUGGAGCAACGCCGCGUGAGCGAUGAAGGCCUUCGGGUCGUAAAGCUCUGUUGUUAGGGAAGAACAAGUACCGGAGUAACUGCCGGUACCUUGACGGUACCUAACCAGAAAGCCACGGCUAACUACGUGCCAGCAGCCGCGGUAAUACGUAGGUGGCAAGCGUUGUCCGGAAUUAUUGGGCGUAAAGCGCGCGCAGGCGGUCCUUUAAGUCUGAUGUGAAAGCCCACGGCUCAACCGUGGAGGGUCAUUGGAAACUGGGGGACUUGAGUGCAGAAGAGGAAAGCGGAAUUCCACGUGUAGCGGUGAAAUGCGUAGAGAUGUGGAGGAACACCAGUGGCGAAGGCGGCUUUCUGGUCUGUAACUGACGCUGAGGCGCGAAAGCGUGGGGAGCAAACAGGAUUAGAUACCCUGGUAGUCCACGCGUAACGAUGAGUGCUAAGUGUUAGAGGUUCCGCCUUUUAGUGCUGCAGCUAACGCAUUAGCACUCGCCUGGGGGAGUACGGACGCAGCUGAAACUCAAGGGAUUGACGGGGGCCCGCACAAGCGUGAAGCAUGUGCUUUAGUCGAGCAACGCGAGACCUUACCAGGUCUGACAUCAUCUGA